rnacentral:rRNA from 1 species
GACGAACGCUGGCGGCGUGCUUAACACAUGCAAGUCGAACGGAAAGGCCCUGCUUGCAGGGUCCUCGAGUGGCGAACGGGUGAGUAACACGUGGGUGAUCUGCCCUGCACUUCGGGAUAAGCCUGGGAAACUGGGUCUAAUACCGGAUAGGAGCCAUUUUUAGUGUGAUGGUUGGAAAGUUUUUUCGGUGUAGGAUGAGCUCGCGGCCUAUCAGCUUGUUGGUGGGGUAAUGGCCUACCAAGGCGGCGACGGGUAGCCGGCCUGCGAGGGUGGACGGCCACAUUGGGACUGAGAUACGGCCCAGACUCCUACGGGAGGCAGCAGGGGGGAAGAUUGCACAAUGGGCGCAAGCCUGAUGCAGCGACGCCGCGUGGGGGAUGACGGCCUUCGGGUUGAAAACUCAUUUCGCUAGGGACGAAGCUUUUUGUGACGGUACCUAGAGAAGAAGCACCGGCUAACUACGUG